GACAGAGGGGGCAAGCGUUGCUCGGAAUUACUGGGCGUAAAGGGCGCGUAGGCGGGAUGGCAAGUCGGUCGUGAAAUCCUUCGGCUCAACCGAAGAACGUCGAUCGAUACUGCUGUUCUUGAGGGUUGCAGAGGAGACUGGAAUUCCCGGUGUAGCGGUGAAAUGUGUAGAGAUCGGGAGGAACACCGGUGGCGAAGGCGGUUCUCUGGGCCUGACCUGACGCUGAGGAGCGAAAGCGUGGGGAGCGAACAGG
rnacentral:rRNA from 1 species